AGCAGUGUGGCUUAGUGGAAAGAGCUCAGGCUUGGGAGUCAGAGGUCAUGGGUUCUAAUCCCUGCUCUGCCA
rnacentral:tRNA from 1 species